rnacentral:rRNA from 3 species
CGACCCCAGGAUGGGCGGGGUGACCCGC